rnacentral:lncRNA from 1 species
GCUGUGAGUAAAAGUGUUGUAAGCAAAUAUUACAGAUGCUGCUACUGGGCUAACCAGUAAUUAGUUUGUAGGUACGUACCCCUUCCCACAGCUCUGUCAGGCAGAGCCCACAGGUGCCAUGUCGGUGCUUCUCGAGCAUCCAGUGAAACGGGAUACUUCCCCGCUGAGCGCUAUUUGGGUCACACAGCCCUCCUGCUGCCGCCUUGCCAUUUCUGCCUGGGAGUCUGCUGGUUUACUCUAUCUUCAGCUCUCGUCUUUAGAGGCUCUUCCGAUGGCACGCGUCACUCGCGCGGCUGGCCUGCGUGCGAGGUGCCGCUGCUUGCCCUAGAAAGGGCGCCGCUGCGAAGGGAGGCGCAGGAGGAGGUUCCCCCUUCAGCGCUUUCCAGCCUUAUCCAUGCCUCUCUCUGGAUUUCUGCUGUUUCCAUUAGCCAGAAUAACUCCUGCCAAGAGCGGGCAGGCUCUGUGAGCUGCUUCGCCUCGUGUCCUGCCGGUAGCUGCUUGCCAUUGUGUCAAAGUCCUCAGGCAAGAGGAGCUCUUCUCUUUGCAUCAUGAAAAACUGAUUACAGAAGUGGAUGUUUCCUGAAUAUGAAGUGCUGGAGCUGCACAUCCCUUGUCCUGGUUGUUCCCCUUCUCCUUGUGCUAUUUCUUCAAGGAACAGCUCUCCAACAGCAGCAAACUCUUUUCAUUUAGAGAUGCUGCUAUAAUUCAGUUUCUUUGG